rnacentral:rRNA from 1 species
UACGUAGGUGGCAAGCGUUAUCCGGAUUCAUUGGGCGUAAAGCGCGCGUAGGCGGCCGCCUAAGCGGAACCUUUAACCCCGGGGCUCAACCUCGGGCCGGGUUCCGGACUGGGCGGCUCGAGUGCGGUAGAGGAGAGCGGAAUUCCCGGUGUAGCGGUGGAAUGCGCAGAUAUCGGGAAGAACACCGAUGGCGAAGGCAGCUCUCUGGGCCGUCACUGACGCUGAGGCGCGAAAGCUGGGGGAGCAAACAGG